CCUAAAGACACAGGAGUUGGCAGCACUAAGUACCUCUGGAACUGGUGAGGGGUGGGAUGGGGGGUGAGAUUGGAACUCAGAUAAGGAGGGUUGUGUGAACGCUAAGUGAGAAAGAUAGAUUUCCCACUCCAUUUCAUUGGUUGACUGCCUGUCCCUCAUCUUAGGAGAAGAUUCAAGUUAUAUUCUCUGGAGAAGGUAAAACAGAGAGGUUCUGCGCUGGAGGAUGGCAGGAAGAGGAAGAGACUGGAGUCUGCUGUCUGCCAUGUGAGGACACAGCCAGAAGACAGUCUUCUGAAUACCAGGAUGGGAGCUCUCACCAGAACCUGACCAUGCUGCCACCCUGAUCUUGGACUUCCAGCCUCAAGAAUUCUUUCUCCCAAUCAUUUCAACAAGUCUGAUGAAGGCUCCAGAGUUUCAGUUGCAUAAGUUGCUUGCAGACUCUUGACAACGGUGGAAAGAAGAGCAAAUAAGGUCGCUGUCGCCCACACCUCAACUCAGACUUAUUGAAUUAGAAUUACUGGGGCAACUUCCCUAGGUCUUUAGCCUGCUAUAAUCAUGGAAAGAAGGGGAUUCCUUGUUGCUGCUUUGGUCUUUUGGUUUCUAGGUUUUUCUUCAUUUGCUUCUGGGAGGAAACACUAUGAAGGCAAGAGUGCUGGCUUCCUAAGGAGAGAGUCAGAAGAUGAGCUGCAGAUUUCAACCCUGCCACUACUUGUGUGAACCCAGACAAGUCCUUUAGUAUCUCCAGCUCUCAGACAGGUUGCUUCAGCUCUUUGGGGCUCACAUUUUCUCAUCUGCAACGUAAGUGGAUUAAAAGACAGGAUCCAGGACCCUUCCAGACUGCAGACACUGCUAUACUCUGAAAUUUGGAACGGCAGCUAGCUUUGGAGACUGGAAGCCCUGGAUGUGCAUCUCAGAUUCACCACUUUCUAGUUGGCUGAGCCAAUCUUCAGACAGGCCAGGUAACCCGAGCCUCUGUAAAGUGGGGAUCACAGCUACUCUAUGAAGUUGUGAGAGAGAGAAUGUUGUCAUUGGACAUGUCGAGUUGCCUCAUGAACACAAACACAUCCAACUUCCAAAGAUUGAACUACGCGUGUUUAGUAAACCAAACCAAAACAUUUAAAACGAUAGUUUUCUCUUUUUAACUCUGAAGUUAAUGCAUUUUCACAGCCCUAAUUCCAUUCUCAAUCGUUCCCAAUCUUUUAAAAGUGAUUUGGAAAUAAGCAUGUUGUUGCUGACACGCUUUUAGAAGGAGGAAAUUAACACAUGAGUGUGUGCUGUGCACUAGACUCUAAUCGAGGUCUUUCCUCAUUAACAUAGCUGAUUCUCAUAACAACUCCAUGAAAUAGGAGUGAUUUUCCAGAAAGAAACUGAGGCUCAGAGAUGAACUUGUAGGGGGAAAAAGCCCCUAAAAAGCCUAGUCUAACUGUAAAACCCUGCUCUUUUUACUCAUCAUGCCAGGCUGCACUUUAAACGUG
rnacentral:lncRNA from 1 species